rnacentral:rRNA from 1 species
UACGUAGGGGGCAAGCGUUAUCCGGAAUUACUGGGUGUAAAGGGAGCGUAGACGGUAAUGUAAGUCUGGAGUGAAAGGCGGGGGCUCAACUCCUGGACUGCAUUGGAAACUGUAGAUCUUGAGUGCCGGAGAGGUAAGCGGAAUUCCUAGUGUAGCGGUGAAAUGCGUAGAUAUUAGGAGGAACACCAGUGGCGAAGGCAGCAUACCGGCGCCCGACUGACGCUGAAGCACGAAAGCGUGGGUAUCGAACAGG